AGUUGGAAACGACUGCUAAUACCGCAUAAGCCCACGGCUCGGCAUCGAGCAGGGGGAAAAGGAGUAAUCCGCUUUGAGAUGGCCUCGCGUCCGAUUAGCUAGUUGGUGAGGUAACGGCCCACCAAGGCAACGAUCGGUAGCCGGACUGAGAGGUUGAACGGCCACAUUGGGACUGAGACACGGCCCAGACUCCUACGGGAGGCAGCAGUGGGGAAUAUUGCACAAUGGGGGGAACCCUGAUGCAGCGACGCCGCGUGGAGGAAGAAGGUCUUCGGAUUGUAAACUCCUGUUGUUGGGGAAGAUAAUGACGGUACCCAACAAGGAAGUGACGGCUAACUACGUGCCAGCAGCCGCGGUAAAACGUAGGUCACAAGCGUUGUCCGGAAUUACUGGGUGUAAAGGGAGCGCAGGCGGGAAGACAAGUUGGAAGUGAAAUCUAUGGGCUCAACCCAUAAACUGCUUUCAAAACUGUUUUUCUUGAGUAGUGCAGAGGUAGGCGGAAUUCCCGGUGUAGCGGUGGAAUGCGUAGAUAUCGGGAGGAACACCAGUGGCGAAGGCGG
rnacentral:rRNA from 1 species